rnacentral:rRNA from 1 species
AUUGAACGCUGGCGGCAUGCUUUACACAUGCAAGUCGAACGGUAACAGGCCUUCGGGUGCUGACGAGUGGCGCACGGGUGAGUAAUGCAUCGGAACGUACCCAGAGGUGGGGGAUAACGCAGCGAAAGCUGUGCUAAUACCGCAUGUGAUCUGAGGAUGAAAGCGGGGGACCGAGCAGCAAUGUUUGGCCUCGCGCCUUUGGAGCGGCCGAUGUCGGAUUAGCUAGUUGGUGGGGUAAAGGCCUACCAAGGCGACGAUCCGUAGCUGGUCUGAGAGGACGACCGGCCACACUGGGACUGAGACACGGCCCAGACUCCUACGGGAGGCAGCAGUGGGGAAUUUUGGACAAAGGGCGCAAGCCUGAUCCAGCAAUGCCGCGUGCGGGAAGAAGGCCUUCGGGUUGUAAACCGCUUUUGGCAGGAACGAAACGGUGUCCGCUAAUACCGGGCGCUAAUGACGGUACCUGCAGAAUAAGCACCGGCUAACUACGUG